rnacentral:misc_RNA from 1 species
GACGGUGGUGGUGGUUGCCGUGGUGAUGGAGCUGGCGUCGGCUACAUUUGUAAAUGUUAUUGGUUGAUGCAGUUAAGUGAGAUAGCGAGGGAGGUGGGCGACGACUUCAACUGAUGUUUCUAUCACACAUACUGAAGGAGAGUGAGGGGGAAGAGGGUGAGUGCGUAUGUGUGUGUGUCUAUCUGCUCUGCUGCCUCGUUUAUUUCACAGUCGGACCAUCAUAGAAGUCGAAGAGAGACGUUUUUUUUUACCUUCCAAGCCUCUUCUCGAUCCCCGCAGAUAUGGCGAAUAAACCAGACGACGCGAAACCUGCAUCAUUUUGAUUGCGGCCGUACUGUAGCACCGCCUUUAGUCGAGCAAAUUGACCCUA